rnacentral:sRNA from 1 species
AAACGCGAUCUGCCCAACCGCCGCGGCAAUUUGAGGCUGUGCGGAUGGGCCGCAUCGUGUUGACUGGCCGGUUGAUUUGUUGGAAGAACGU